GUACAACAGUUUCAGAUACCAACCCGGUUGUGCUGAAGUUAACAUGGGUGACCCCGAAACAGUUUCAGAUACCAAACAGUUUCAGGUACCAUUCUCCGGCUUCUUUCCCUUCUCUUUGGUUGGGCAACUUGGGCUGGUGAAUUGUGAGGUAAAACAAAGAGCGUGAAUUGUGAGGUAAAACAAAGAGCGUGAUCACACUCGUUAGAAAAUGAACCCAAAAUAUACAAGUUGUAAGUGGGAGCUGCUGCCAAUAAAGAGGAUGAAUUCACUGACAGGACAGCGGCACAAAGAGCAGUAAGCUACUCCAUAUUUCACACCGAGGAG
rnacentral:lncRNA from 1 species